rnacentral:misc_RNA from 1 species
AGCAGCCGCGGUAAUUCCAGCUCCAAUAGCGUAUAUUAAAGUUGCUGCAGUUAAAAAGCUCGUAGUUGAAUUUCGGGACUAAUAUGUCGGUCGUGCCUCGGUACGUACUGGUUUAUUGGUUUCUCCUUUCUGAAGAACCAUGAUGUCAUUUAUUUGGUGUCGUGGGGAAUCAGGACUGUUACUUUGAAAAAAUUAGAGUGUUUAAAGCAGGCUCACGCUUGAAUACAUUAGCAUGGAAUAAUGAAAUAGGACGUUUGAUUCUAUUUUGUUGGUUUCUAGGAUCGACGUAAUGAUUAAUAGGGAUAGUUGGGGGCAUUAGUAUUCAAUUGUCAGAGGUGAAAUUCUUGGAUUUAUUGAAGACUAACUACUGCGAAAGCAUUUGCCAAGGAUGUUUUCAUUAAUCAAGAACGAAAGUUAGGGGAUCGAAGACGAUCAGAUACCGUCGUAGUCUUAACCAUAAACUAUGCCGACUAGGGAUCGGAUGAUGUUAAUUUUUAA